GCCCUUUUCCUUUCUUCUUCAUCUACCUCUAGCUCACAAUUUAAUAUAUUAUGCUUUUGUAGGAAAAUUUUUAAAUGGCAUUUGAGAGCGGUGGCGCAUGCCUGUAGUCCCAGCUACUCAGGAGGCUGAGGCAGGACUGCUUGAGUCCAGGAAUUCAAGAUUGCAAUGAGCCACAAUCAUACCACUGCACUCCAGAUAUUGCGCUUUUUACAAAUUGAGGUUUGUGGCAGCCCUGCUUCAGAAGCAAUCAAACUCCAAAUGGUGCCAUAAACUGAACCACACAUGGACAGGCCAGCCAUUCCUCCGAAGACCCUUGGAUCAACCCCAGAAGGAGCCCUAGCUGCUGUUUCCCAUUCCACGCCCCUUUUCAGCAGGAAGUAGCCAGAAAGAGUCAUCGCCCAAAACCCCCUAACAGUUAGUGUGGCAUCUCCACAGGGGAUAAUGUUAUAGGAAAAGGGGUCCUUGGGAAGUUUUCGUGGUUUUUUGUUUUGUUUUGAGACGGAGGCUCGCUCUAUCGCCCAGCCUGGAGUGCAGUGGCGCGAUCUCGGCUCACUGCAAGCUCCGCCUCCCGGGUUUAUGCCAUUCUCCUGCCUCAGCCUCCGGAGUAGCUGGGACUACAGGUGUAGGCCACCACGCCUG
rnacentral:lncRNA from 1 species